AUGCAGAUCAAAAACAUAUUCCCUGUCAACACUCAGGCUUAUGUUUACCUACACAACCAGAUUGCAAGUCUGCAAAUGCACAGAACUACAGGUGCUACAAGCUUGAACAGAGACAAUUUAUUCUGCUCUAGGUGCACUAAAUUGUCAUCCAAGCAUUUACAUAUUUUGCAUCCAAAAAGUUCCAAGCAUCGAGGCAGAAAAACGAAGAUCUUCCUGUGGAGCGAUCAGCAGCGCCUUCAUGUGGCCAGUGGAGCAAUCAGCGGCGCCUUCUUCCUGAUCAACGUCUUCUUGGCCGUGACUCUCUUUCUCGGAGGCAUCAACGGAGCGAACUCCACCACCUCCUCCUUUAUGGACACUGCCAUCCUGUCGAUCUUGGCAGCAGCAGUAGGAGCAGAAGGGUGGGCGUUUGCAGCAGCGGUGGCAAACCACGGGAGCUUCAGCGCGGUGGCCGCCGUCAGCCGCUUGUCGGGGUUGCAUGGCACAACAUUUACUCAUCCAACUGCCACCAACAUAUCAUUGCAUCAUGAUGACGUCCCUCGAGCUCUUGAUCCAGUUGAGGACAAGGGAGAGUUCCAUCAGCACGACGGCGUAACGACGGUGAUGAUGAAGUUACCGGCGCAGGACUUCACCUAA
rnacentral:rRNA from 1 species